UCCUAAAAACUUCUCAUUGACACUAAAUCCCUAAAUCUCCCUUUACCCUUUCAGACGAAAUCCCUAAUUUCUAAACGACUCCCCAUUGCGCCUCUUUGUUUUGCCGUCCUCUCUAUUCGACUUCACGUUCUUCAUCAUCGACAUGAAUCUCACCGGUUUCCCCACUCUCACUUACAGCUGCCGUCUUCGCCGCCGCCAGCGCCGCAUAGUCCUCUUCGGCCACCGAAGACCCCCAGCCUCCGAAGAAAGAAGAAGAACAAGCCAAUCCAGUCACUGCCAUUGAAACAACUUCCUCUUCUCCUUCUCAGUUGUAGAUGAAAAGAAAUCGUGUUCCUCUUCUGCCUCUCCAAAUAACCUAUACAGGACCCGCUGAGUCAACUCGUGUCCCUAAACCAAUUGUUAGGUCAGCAUGUAAGAAUUUAGUUGAAAGCCAGAAACAAAAAGAUUCUUCUAGUAGCUUGGUGUUUUUCUGAACUAGAGAGUUUUGGACCUUAAAGUUUUCCAGCUUUGGACUCGUCGUCUAGUUGUAUCGGCUGGUUUUCUUAGAAUCUUUGGUCGUGAAGUUGCUGAGCUUCCUAUAAUUGCCACUGGUAGAAAACAUCAGGGCUGAACACCGCGCUCUUCGUCAAUCUUUGGAACUACUUCGUCAGACACACUACUUUGACGUAUCUAUUUUGUCAGACAAGAAAUUUUUGGUCGGCUUCGUAGAUCAAUGCAUAUGUGGAGCAAUCUUCGCACUAGAAAUGCUUGUCGAACUGCGUUCGGGUGAGCUGAAGCAUAUUGUGGCCAUUUCAUUCAAAGUUCCAUCAUAACAAAGGUCUUUCUUAACCCAAAGAUGUCGACAAUUAGAAAUGCAACUAAUUGGUGGCUGAGCAUCGUUGUUGGGGUUGGUGUGUAAAGAACAUAUUUAAUUCUGUAAUUAUGUAAUUUGUGUUUGAGAAUACUAAUACAUUCUAAAUUAAUAUAUUA